UACGAAGGGGGCUAGCGUUGCUCAGAAUUACUGGGCGUAAAGCGCACGUAGGCGGCUUCUUAAGUCGGUGGUGAAAUCCUGGAGCUCAACUCCAGAACUGCCUUCGAUACUGGGAAGCUCGAGUCCGGGAGAGGUGAGUGGAAUUCCGAGUGUAGAGGUGAAAUUCGUAGAUAUUCGGAGGAACACCAGUGGCGAGGGCGGCUCACUGGCUCGACACUGACGCUGAGGUGCGAAAGCGUGGGGAGCAAACAGG
rnacentral:rRNA from 1 species